UCCCUGGUGGCCCAGUGGGUAAGACUCUGCACUCCCAAUGCAGGGGACCCAAGUUUGAUUCUUGGUCAGGGAA
rfam:TPA: Bos taurus chromosome 11, whole genome shotgun sequence.